UACGAAGGGGGGCUAGCGUUGUUCGGAAUUACUGGGCGUAAAGCGCGCGUAGGCGGUUUUGCAAGCCAGAGGUGAAAUGCCUGAGCUCAACUUAGGAAUUGCCUUUUGGGACUGCGAGGCUUUGAGGACUGGAGAGGUGAGUGGAAUUCCCAGUGUAGAGGUGAAAAUUCGUAGAGAUCCGGAGGAACACCAGUGGCGAAGGCGACACGCUGGGCCGUACCUGACACUGAUGCGCGACAGCAUGGGGAGCAAACAGG
rnacentral:rRNA from 1 species